rnacentral:rRNA from 1 species
GAUGAACGCUGGCGGCGUGCCUAAUACAUGCAAGUCGAGCGAACAGACGAGGAGCUUGCUCCUCUGACGUUAGCGGCGGACGGGUGAGUAACACGUGGAUAACCUACCUAUAAGACUGGGAUAACUUCGGGAAACCGGAGCUAAUACCGGAUAAUAUAUUGAACCGCAUGGUUCAAUAGUGAAAGACGGUUUUGCUGUCACUUAUAGAUGGAUCCGCGCCGCAUUAGCUAGUUGGUAAGGUAACGGCUUACCAAGGCAACGAUGCGUAGCCGACCUGAGAGGGUGAUCGGCCACACUGGAACUGAGAAACGGUCCAGACUCCUACGGGAGGCAGCAGUAGGGAAUCUUCCGCAAUGGGCGAAAGCCUUACGGAGCAACGCCGCGUGAGUGAUGAAGGUCUUCGGAUCGUAAAACUCUGUUAUUAGGGAAGAACAAAUGUGUAAGUAACUAUGCACGUCUUGACGGUACCUAAUCAGAAAGCCACGGCUAACUACGUG